GAUGAACGCUGACAGAAUGCUUAACACAUGCAAGUCCACUUGAACUUCGGUUUGGGUGGCGGACGGGUGAGUAACGCGUAAAGAACUUGCCUCACAGAUAGGGACAACAUUUGGAAACGAAUGCUAAUACCUGAUAUUAUGAUUAUAUGGCAUCGUAUAAUUAUGAAAGCUAUAUGCGCUGUGAGAGAGCUUUGCGUCCCAUUAGCUAGUUGGAGAGGUAACGGCUCACCAAGGCGAUGAUGGGUAGCCGGCCUGAGAGGGUGAUCGGCCACAAGGGGACUGAGACACGGCCCUUACUCCUGCGGGAGGCAGCAGUGGGGAAUAUUGGACAAUGGACCAAGAGUCUGAUCCAGCAAUUCUGUGUGGACGAUGAAGUUUUUCGGAAUGUAAAGUGCUUUCAGUUGGGAAGAAAAAAAUGACGGUACCAACAGAAGAAGUGACGGCUAAAUACGUG
rnacentral:rRNA from 1 species